GAAUUAGUAGCUCAGUCGGUAGAGCAUUUGACUUUUAAUCAAAGGGUCCGGGGUUCGAAUCCCCGCUAGUUCACCA
rnacentral:tRNA from 1 species